UCUGGACUCAGGAAGAAACAGAAACCUUGUGCUGAAGGAAUGAAGAAGGCAGGACGCCAGGCAUUCUCCUCUGGUGGCUCAUGCCUGUAACCCCAGCACUUGGGAGGCUGAAGCUAGAAGACUGAGCACGGGUCUGGUGACACAGAAAUAGGAAACAUGACCAAAGAUAAAUGAAUGACGAGGUCCUUAGGGCCCCAAGACCACAGCGGAGAAAGGCUAACCCUUCAGGAUGGAAAUCAAGGACUUCUAAGCCUCUGGCUCAUACAGGAUCAUUGGUAGAGCACAAGGAUGCGGCCUCUAGGGAAGAUCCCCGAGAGAUCGCUUAGUGCAGGCUGGGCAUUGGUGGUAAAGCCUCAGGAGCUGCCAGUGGGUUUGCUGACUCAUCUGCCCACUCAGCACUCACACAACGGGAAUCCUCAGAGAGGCACCUCUGGGGUUGCUCUAGAAGGGGAGAAAAUGAACAGGCAGAGCAGAGCUGUGACAGCUGAAAGGAGCUUCACUCGUCGGAAAGGAGCUUUACUCGUCGGAAAGGAGCUUCACUCGUCGGGCUUUUGCAGGGGCAGGUCCAGCAGAAGGGGCUGCGAGCGGAAAACUUGCACUGCCGAGAGAAGCAAAGACUUUUCUGUGUCCUUAUUUCUUGUCUCUCUGCAUCUCUGGGCUUUGGAAUUCUUGGUGGCAAGGUCUGAAGUCUACUUUGUUUACAACUGCAUUCUCCAGCUUCUAAAAAACCCACGAAACAAAACAAA